CCUACGGGUGGCAGCAGUGAGGAAUAUUGGUCAAUGGGCGCGAGCCUGAACCAGCCAAGUAGCGUGAAGGAUGAAUGUCCUACGGGUCGUAAACUUCUUUUAUAAAGGAAUAAAGUGAGGCACGUGUGCCCUUUUGUAUGUACUUUAUGAAUAAGGAUCGGCUAACUCCGUGCCAGCAGCCGCGGUAAUACGGAGGAUCCGAGCGUUAACCGGAUUUAUUGGGUUUAAAGGGGGCGUAGAUGGGUUGUUAAGUCAGUUGUGAAAGUUUGCGGCUCAACCGUAAAAUUGCAAUUGAAACUGGCAGUCUGGAGUACGGUUGAGGUAGGCGGAAUGCGUGGUGUAGCGGUGAAAUGCUUAGAUAUCACGAAGAACUCCGAUUGCGAAGGCAGCUUACUAAACUGCCACUGACAUUGAUGCUCGAAAGUGUGGGUAUCAAACAGGAUUAGAUACCCCUGUAGUC
rnacentral:rRNA from 1 species